GAACGUGCAACGCGGCGGCCGCCAUGUUGAUUGUUGUGGUUGCGGUGCGAAAAUCAGAAUUGUUGAUCGCUUCAAAAUGUGUCCUAAUUUUAUUUGAUUUGGCCGGAAAUUCCUUCAGUUUUCGUUUGAGAAGACCAAUUAACUAUAUUGAAUAGGUUAUUAUGUGCCACGACCACUUUUUGAAGCACCUUGAACUGUGGUACCCUACAGGAUUUGGCCAAGAGUAGUGGAAGUGAACGAUUGCGUGCCGCUGUAGACGUUUUAAGCGGCCAUGGCCUGCUCAAGCUCGAAGAUUCCAAGGAGCCAUGCCAAGGAGGAGAAGCUUCAGGACCGAUUAAAUACCGAGGACCAGAAGCUGCACGGGCCAAAUUACUUUACUCCGGUUGCUG